GGGAAUGUGGCUUAGUGGUAGAGUGCUUGACUUGCACACAUGAAGCCCUGGGUUUGAUUCCUCAGUACCA
rnacentral:tRNA from 1 species